GAUGAACGCUGGCGGCGUGCCUAAUGCAUGCAAGUCGAGCGAACAGACGAGGAGCUUGCUCCUCUGACGUUAGCGGCGGACGGGUGAGUAACACGUGGAUAACCUACCUAUAAGACUGGGAUAACUUCGGGAAACCGGAGCUAAUACCGGAUAAUAUAUUGAACCGCAUGGUUCAAUAGUGAAAGACGGUUUUGCUGUCACUUAUAGAUGGAUCCGCGCCGCAUUAGCUAGUUGGUAAGGUAACGGCUUACCAAGGCAACGAUGCGUAGCCGACCCGAGAGGGUGAUCGGCCACACUGGAACUGAGACACGGUCCAGACUCCUACGGGGGGCAGCAGUAGGGAAUCUUCCGCAAUGGGCGAAAGCCUGACGGAGCAACGCCGCGUGAGUGAUGAAGGUCUUCGGAUCGUAAAACUCUGUUAUUAGGGAAGAACAAAUGUGUAAGUAACUAUGCACGUCUUGACGGUACCUAAUCAGAAAGCCACGGCUAACUACGUG
rnacentral:rRNA from 1 species